AGGCUGUUCAGCAACGAGGCUGGGCCUGCAGUGGCCCUGGCCUGACCUGUAGUUGCUGCUACAGAGACCCAGCCACCGGCUGGUUUGAGGCCCCGCUGUGCCCCCUCCACGGCAAGGUUAUAGAAACCUCACACUC
rnacentral:snoRNA from 1 species